rnacentral:rRNA from 1 species
GUGGGGAAUUUUGGACAAUGGGCGCAAGCCUGAUCCAGCAAUGCCGCGUGCAGGAAGAAGGCCUUCGGGUUGUAAACUGCUUUUGUACGGAACGAAACGGUCCGGGUUAAUACCCUGGGCUAAUGACGGUACCGUAAGAAUAAGCACCGGCUAACUACGUGCCAGCAGCCGCGGUAAUACGUAGGGUGCAAGCGUUAAUCGGAAUUACUGGGCGUAAAGCGUGCGCAGGCGGUUUUGUAAGACAGGCGUGAAAGCCCCGGGCUCAACCUGGGAAUUGCGCUUGUGACUGCAAGGCUGGAGUGCGGCAGAGGGGGAUGGAAUUCCGCGUGUAGCAGUGAAAUGCGUAGAUAUGCGGAGGAACACCGAUGGCGAAGGCAAUCCCCUGGGCCUGCACUGACGCUCAUGCACGAAAGCGUGGGGAGCAAACAGGAUUAGAUACCCGGGUAGUCC